AGAAGGGACAGGCAGCACAGAAGGGGUGGUGGUGUGGCUCUCUAUAUUAGAGAGUGUUUAGAUGUUGUGGAACUUGAGGCUGGGAAUGAUAAGGUUGAGUCCCUAUGGGUUAGGAUCAGCGGGAAGGCCAAUAAGGCAAGAAUCCUGGUGGGGGUCUGUUAUAGACCGCCAAACCAGGAUGAGGAGACGGAUGAGGAGUUCUACAGGCAGCUGGCAGAAGUUGCGAAAUCGUCAGCUUUUGUCCUCCUGGGGGACAUCAGCUUCCCAGAUGUAUCCUGGAAAUGCAAUACAGCUCAGAGAAAUCAGUCUAGGAGGUUUCUGGAGAGCGUGGAAGAUAGCUUCCUGACGCAGCUGGUUAGUGAGCCUAUUAGGGAAGGUGCCCUGCUUGACCUUCUGCUCACAAACAGAGAAGGAGUGGUGGGAGAUGUGGUAGUUAGGAGCUGUCUUGGGCAGAGUGACCAUGAAAUGGUAGAAUUCUCUCCUCUUGGUGAAGUCAGGAAGGGGAUCAGUAAAACCGCUGUCUUGGACUUCCGGAGGGCUGACUUUGAGCUGUUCAGGACACUGGUUGGCAGAGUCCCUUGGGAGGUGGUUCUGAAGGGCAGAGGAGUCCAGGAAGGCUGGGCACUCUUCAAGAAGGAAAUCUUAAUGGCUCAGGAGCGGUCUGUCCCCCUGUGCCCAAAGACAAGCCGGCACGGAAGAAGACAGGCUGGGCUGAACAGAGAGUUGUGGCUGGAGCUUAGGAGAAAAAAGAGGGUUUAUAAUCUUUGGAAAAGAGGGCGGGCCACUCAGGAGGACUAUAAGGAUGUUGCAAGGCUGUGCAGGGACAAAAUUAGAAAGGCCAAAGCUCAUCUGAAGCUCAAUCUGGCUACUGCCCUUAAAGAUAGCAAAAAAUGUUUUUAUAAACACAUCAACACAGAAAGGAGGACUAAGGAGAAUCUCCAUCCUUUACUGGAUGCAGGGGGAAACUUAGUUACAAGAGAUGAGGAAAAGUCUGAGGUGCUUAACGCCUUCUUUGCCUCAGUCUUUAGCGGCAAAACCAGUUGUUCUCUAGAUACCCGGUACCCUGAGCUGGUGGAAGGGGAUGGGGAGCAGAAUGGGGCCCUCACAAUCCAUGAGGAAAUGGUUGGCGACCUGCUACAGCACUUGAAUGUAUGCAAGUCGAUGGGGCCGGAUGGGAUCCACCCGAGGGUACUGAGAGAACUGAGAGAACUGAGAGAACUGGCAGAGGAGCUGGCCAAGCCGCUUUCCAUUAUUUAUCGGCAGUCCUGGCUAUCAGGGGAGGUCCCAGUCGACUGGCGGCUAGCAAAUGUGAUGCCCAUCUACAAGAAGGGCUGGAGGGUAGACCCGGGGAACUAUAGGCCUGUUAGCUUGACCUCAGUGCCAGGGAAGCUCAUGGAGCAGAUUAUGUUGAGUGUCAUCAUGCGGCACUUACAGGGCAACCAGGCGAUCAGGCCCAGUCAGCAUGGGUUUAUGAAGGGCAGGUCCCGCUUGACGAACCUGAUCUCCUUCUAUGACAAAGUGACACGCUUAGUGGAUGAGGGAAAGGCUGUGGAUGUGGUCUACCUUGAAUUCAGUAAGGCUUUUGAUACCGUUCCCCACAGCAUUCUCCUCAAGAAACUGGCUGCUCUUGGCUUGGACUGGCGUACGCUUCAUUGGGUUAAAAACUGGCUGGGUAGCUGGGCCUAAAGAGUUGUGGUGAAUGGAGUCAAAUCCAGUUGGAGGCCAGUCACUAGUGGAGUCCCCC
ensembl:lncRNA